CACGAGCGCAACCCUCGCCUUUAGUUGCCAGCAUGUUUGGGUGGGCACUCUAAAGGAACUGCCGGUGACAAGCCGGAGGAAGGUGGGGAUGACGUCAAGUCCUCAUGGCCCUUAUGUCCUGGGCUACACACGUGCUACAAUGGCGGUGACAGUGGGACGCCAGGCAGCGAUGCCGAGCUGAUCUCCAAAAGCCGUCUCAGUUCGGAUUGCACUCUGCAACUCGGGUGCAUGAAGGUGGAAUCGCUAGUAAUCGUGGAUCAGCAUGCCACGGUGAAUACGUUCCCGGGCCUUGCACACACCGCCCGU
rnacentral:rRNA from 1 species